CUUUGCAUGCAUACUUUACGACUGCACCCUCGCCAACCGAAGCUUUACUACUGUUACAUUCUGUCAUUGGUGAAAAAAAAACAGGCCAGGGAAAGCAGUAUCAUGGCCUGUAAUGUAGCAAAAUGCUGCUGUCGCAUUGAUUAGUCUACAGCUGAAUUUAAUGAGAAAGGGCAGCAAUGUAGGUCAUAUGUGGAUGUUUGCAGACCAUAAUUAUGUUGUGCUCAUUUUGUUAUCGCAGGAAGCACCUUCAAAAGGCAGUGCUACAAGGAUGUGAGCAGCAGUUUCCCUUCAACGAACGGGUCAAAUUCGUGGAAGCCAUGUGCCUGCUGCUUCUGGCCUACACAAACAUGCAGCCACCAUAGUAAAGUUCUUGCAAAGACAUUCUACACAAACUUGCCCAAAGGCGGAAGGAAGGCACGCACAGAUGGACACAGAAAUCACGGGGCUGCCACAGAAGCUAUGAAUGAGCAUUAACCUAUGUACAGAAAGGAGCGAAGUGGAGCUGUCCAUGGGCCGUGCACACAGUUUCAUAAGCAGGCUUGCAACCCUUUUGACAAAUAUGUUCCUGAAUACAUCUGCCAAAGUCGCAUUUAAAG
rnacentral:lncRNA from 1 species